rnacentral:rRNA from 1 species
CCUACGGGAGGCAGCAGUGAGGAAUCUUGGUCAAUGGAGGGAACUCUGAACCAGCCACGUCGCGUGAAGGAGGAAGGCCUUACGGGUCGUAAACUUCUUUUUCGGGGGAAUAAACGGGGUCACGCGUGGCCCCCUGCAUGUACCCCGCGAACAAGGAUCGGCUAACUCCGUGCCAGCAGCCGCGGUAAUACGGAGGAUCCGAGCGUUAUCCGGAUUUAUUGGGUUUAAAGGGUGCGCAGGCGGGUUGCUAAGUCGGUGGUGAAAUCCCGGGGCUCAACCCCUGGCUUGCCAUCGAAACUGGUUACCUUGAGUAUGGGUGAGGCAGGCGGAAUUCGUGGUGUAGCGGUGAAAUGCAUAGAUAUCACGAGGAACCCCGAUCGCGUAGGCAGCUUGCCAUUCCAUCACUGACGCUCAUGCACGAAGGCGUGGGGAUCAAACAGGAUUAGAUACCCGGGUAGUCC